CAAUAAACAAAAGUAUGCAUAUAUGUAAGAAAGAGAUGCACAGCUUUUAAAUAAAUGUGUGAAAACGGUACCAUAUUGUAUGAAUCUAUCAUUACAUGGAUCAGUAUUGUUGAUCCAAACAUGCACAUCAUGUCAGUGGUCUCAAAGAAGCAUGUUUGUUUAAGGUUCAGGAAUUGCCCCGGCUGACCUUCCAGGUCAAACCAAAGGAUAAGUAAUGAUAAGGUCUCUUUUUAGGCCUCUUUCAAUUCAAAAUAAAACAUAAAUAAAAGCGAUCCACAUAAAAAC
rnacentral:lncRNA from 1 species